AUGGAGCAAGAAGCGCCCGCCACGACGACGGAGCGCGUGCGAGAUGUGACCCUCCGGCUGCUCGACCUCGCCGACGCCGACGCCAUGAUGGCGUGGGUGUCGGAUCCCGAGGUCACGACCUUCAUGACGUGGGACCCCUACACGUCCCGCGACGCCCUGCUCGCGUUCCUCCGGGACGCCGCGCUGCCGCACCCCUGGUUCCGCGCCGUAUGCCUCCCCGGCGGCGACCACCCCGUCGGCUCGGUGUCCGUGUCGCCGACGGCGGACGCGUGCCGCGCCGAGCUCGGGUACAUGGUGGCGCGUGCGCACUGGGGCAAGGGCGUGGCCACGGCCGCCGUGAGGCGAGCGCGCGUGGAGGCGCUGGUGGAUGUGCGCAACGUCGCGUCGCAGCGCAUGCUGGAGAAGGCCAGGUUCCGGCAGGAGGCCGUGCUGCGGAGGUACUGCGUGGUCAAGGGCGCCGUCAGGGACAUGGCCAUCUACAGCUUCAUCUCCACGGAUGCACUGCUCGUUUAA
rnacentral:rRNA from 1 species